UACAGAGGUCCCAAGCGUUGUUCGGAAUUACUGGGCGUAAAGGGCUCGUAGGCGGCCAACUAAGUCAGACGUGAAAUCCCUCGGCUUAACCGGGGAACUGCAUCUGAUACUGGAUGGCUUGAGUUCGGGAGAGGGAUGCGGAAUUCCAGGUGUAGCGGUGAAAUGCGUAGAUAUCUGGAAGAACACCGAUGGCGAAGGCAGAUCUCUGGGCCGUAACGUGACGCUGAGGAGCGAAAGCAUGGGGAGCGAAGAG
rnacentral:rRNA from 1 species